rnacentral:rRNA from 1 species
AUGGAUGAGUGAACCAAUCCGAAGGCAACAGAUCCCAUCUGAUCUUGGAAACUAAGCAGGGUCAGCCCUGAUUAGUACUUGGAAAGGGGACUGUGGAGGAAUACCAGAUGCUGUAGGCU